ensembl:snoRNA small nucleolar RNA SNORA23
GGUGGAUGGUGUGCACAGUGUUGGUCCUGUGUUAUGUGUGUUGCAAGGCUGUGUUUUACAGUCUCUGCAGCAGUGCUCACUCCACACCCGCAGCCACAGAACAACAGGAGAUCACUAGUACUGGCCAAUGACGUCUUUCUGGCUUUUCACAAUUUGCCAGCCUCCAAACUCUCCUACAAGC